ensembl:snRNA U6 U6 spliceosomal RNA
UGCCAGCUCUGGCAGCAUAUUACUAAAAAUGGAACUAGACAAAGAAGAUUAGCAUCGUCCCUGUGAAAAGAUGACAAGUUAUUUGUGAACCACUCUAAAUGUUUUU